rnacentral:rRNA from 1 species
GCGAAAGUGACGGUACCUGCAGAAGAAGCGCCGGCUAACUACGUGCCAGCAGCCGCGGUAAUACGUAGGGCGCAAGCGUUGUCCGGAAUUAUUGGGCGUAAAGAGCUCGUAGGCGGCUUGUCACGUCGGUUGUGAAAGCCCGGGGCUUAACCCCGGGUCUGCAGUCGAUACGGGCAGGCUAGAGUUCGGUAGGGGAGAUCGGAAUUCCUGGUGUAGCGGUGAAAUGCGCAGAUAUCAGGAGGAACACCGGUGGCGAAGGCGGAUCUCUGGGCCGAUACUGACGCUGAGGAGCGAAAGCGUGGGGAGCGAACAGGAUUAGAUACCCUGGUAGUCCACGCCGUAAACGGUGGGCACUAGGUGUGGGCAACAUUCCACGUUGUCCGUGCCGCAGCUAACGCAUUAAGUGCCCCGCCUGGGGAGUACGGCCGCAAGGCUAAAACUCAAAGGAAUUGACGGGGGCCCGCACAAGCGGCGGAGCAUGUGGCUUAAUUCGACGCAACGCGAAGAACCUUACCAAGGCUUGACAUACACCGGAAACGGCCAGAGAUGGUCGCCCCCUUGUGGUCGGUGUACAGGUGGUGCAUGGCUGUCG